rnacentral:rRNA from 1 species
AUUGAACGCUGGCGGCAUGCCUAACACAUGCAAGUCGAGCGGAGCGGCGGACGGGUGAGUAAUGUCUGGGAAACUGCCUGCUGGAGGGGGAUAACUACUGGAAACGGUAGCUAAUACCGCAUACUAUCAGAUGAGCCUAGGUCGGUUUAGCGAGUGGGUGGGGUAAAGUCCUACCAAGGCGCCGAUCCGUAACUGGUCUGAGAGGAUGAUCAGGCACACUGGAGCUGAGACACGGUCCAGACUCCUACGGGAGGAAGCAGUGGGGAAUAUUGGCCAAGGGGCGAAAGCCUGAUCCAGCAAUGCGGCGUGGGUGAAGAAGGUCUUCGGAUUGUAAAGCACUUUAAGUUGGGAGGCGUUACCAACAGAAUAAGCACCGGCUAACUUCGUGCCAGCAGCCGCGGUAAUAC